CCUACGGGUGGCUGCAGUAAGGAAUAUUGGUCAAUGGACGCAAGUCUGAACCAGCCAUGCCGCGUGGAGGAUGAAGGUCCUCUGGAUUGUAAACUUCUUUUAUCUGGGACGAAAAAGGGUCUUUCUAGAUCAACUGACGGUACCAGAUGAAUAAGCACCGGCUAACUCCGUGCCAGCAGCCGCGGUAAUACGGAGGGUGCAAGCGUUAUCCGGAUUCACUGGGUUUAAAGUGUGUUGGGGUGUCUUGGUAGAAAUCCCCGAGCUUAACUUGGGAACUGCCAUUGAUACUAUCAGUCUUGAAUAUUGUGGAGGUUAGCGGAAUAUGUCAUGUAGCGGUGAAAUGCUUAGAUAUGACAUAGAACACCAAUUGCGAAGGCAGCUGGCUACGCAUAUAUUGACACUGAGGCACGAAAGCGUGGGGAUCAAACAGGAUUAGAUACCCCAGUAGUC
rnacentral:rRNA from 1 species